rnacentral:pre_miRNA from 1 species
ACUCCUCGGUCGGAUCGGACCUCCACUGGUUUUAGCUUCGGUGAUAUUUCUAGAAUGAUUAUCACCGGGUGAAAAUCAGGGCAGGUCCGAUCCCAUCGA